rnacentral:rRNA from 1 species
CGCUGGCGGCGUGCCUAACACACGCAAGUCGAACGGGGAUUUGUUUCGGCAGAAUCCUAGUGGCGAACGGGUGAGUAACGCGUAGGCAACCUGCCCCCCGGAUUGGGACAACACCCCGAAAGGGUGCUAAUACCGGAUACGAAGAUAGCACCGCAUGGUGUUAUUUUGAAAGAUGGCCUCUAUUUAUAAGCUAUCGCCGGGGAUGGGCCUGCGUCCGAUUAGCUGGUUGGCGGGUAACGGCCUACCAAGGCGACGAUCGGUAGCCGGUCUGAGAGGAUGAACGGCCACAUUGGGACUGAGACACGGCCCAGACUCCUACGGGAGGCAGCAGUGGGGAAUCUUCCGCAAUGGGCGAAAGCCUGACGGAGCAACGCCGCGUGGGUGAGGAAGUUCUUCGGAACGUAAAGCCCUGUUGUACAUGACGAACGUGCUUUCUAUCAACAACGGGAAGCAAUGACGGUAGUGUACGAGGAAGCCACGGCUAACUACGUGCCAGCCGCGGC